rnacentral:misc_RNA from 1 species
GUUUGUUCAUUGAUUUAAUGAAUAACCAUAAGAAUGCAUGAGUGAAAAACAUUGCUGGCAGUCCGAUCGGCCGAACCAGAAAUUGGACCGCUAGGUCCUCUCUCUGGCAGCUUACUCCGUUGCGCGAGGUUCCGGCUCGAAAGACGUUCCCAAGCGAGGCUGCCAAAAUACGGUAAACGUUCACAAGGUGUGUGGUUGUGCUGGAAGCGCCAAGUUUCCCUGGCGUUCCAAACAACAGAUUGGUAAUGAUCCAACCGCAGGUUCACCUACGGUUA